CCUUCUAUCAAAUGAGACCAAGCAGGCCCUGUAGUUGCCUAUGCUGAAGAGGAUGUUGGCAGCAACCUUCUUCACGAGCAGCAGCCCAUACUGCGCUGUGACCCGGUGUGCCCAUACAACAGAUGGGAGUGUGGACCUUGUUAAAUAUCUGUUAAAGAGAGCUGCUGUGGCCAUUAUGGUCAACCAACCUCCUUUGUGCCACUUAUGAUGCUGUUCUGUUUGGGCCCAUUGACUGAGAGCAGCAAUGGGUGUGAGAGGCCUCCAGCAGUUUGUGGAACAUGCCUGUCCACAGUCAAACAUGUGGGUGAAUUUGAAGGACAUGGCAGAGCAGCAUCGCCGCUUGCAUCCUGGGCAUUCUCCCGUUGUGGUGGUGGAUGCUAUGGGAUGUCUCCGGUCCUGGUACACUGCAGAAGCCUGGGUGCAUGGUGGGCAGUGGCGUGAGUACUUGCGGAGCUUGGAAAACUUUACAGCUGCUUUUCGAUCCCUUGGCAUUGAGUUGGUGUUUAUCUUUGAUGGGGUAAUAGAUCAGAAGAAAAGGGACGAGUGGGUUAUGCGACGGCUGAGGAACAACAAAGAAAUCGCAAAAAUAUUUCGGCAUAUAAAAGAAAAGGCCAGUCAGCCAGGAAGAAACAUGUUCUUUAUUCCCUCUGGGCUGGGCACAUUCACUCGCUUUGCCUUGAAGUCUAUGUGCUUAAACACCAUGUGCUCCCUGCAGGAGGCUGAUUAUGAAAUCGCCAGUUAUGCCAGGUUAAAUGGUUGUAUGGCAGUCCUGGGCCAGGACACAGAUUUCCUCAUUUUCGACACGGUGCCGUAUCUUUCAGUUAAAGAGCUGCGUUUGAAUAAGAUGACAACGAUUAUGUAUUCCCGAGAAAACCUCUGCCAUUCCCUCCACCUGCAGCAGAUGGACCUGCCGCUUUUAGCUUGCCUUCUCAGCAAUGAUGUGGUGCCAGAAAAAGCAGUAGCAGGUUUGAAGCAGCAAUGUUUGGCUAGAUACGCUCCACAUAACUCCAAAGCGACUAAGAGAAAGGAGAUAGUCGAGGCAGUUGCACAUUAUAUCUCUGGUGUGACCCGUUCGUAUGAUGGAUUGAGAAAGAUAGAGAGAAAUCUGCAAUGCACUUCCAAUGAAAGACUACUGGAGCUGGGAAUGAGAACUUACUUAAUGCCCGGACAACACUCACCCUGGCUUCCUCACAUUGUGCCAUCUCCAGAGACAAGCCAAUGUGAAAACACCAUGUACUCAGACCAAAGGAUUUUACAAUUUGCAAGGGAGCGGCACAUCAAAGCAGAAAGCCGUGUAGUUUACAAAGUUCUGAAGGCUCGGGAAGUAGAUUGCAGCAAUUCUCUGGAGGACGAGUUGGAUACUGAACUUCCAGGACAAGCCAUUGUUUACCAACCUGCUCGACAGUCCAUUUAUGGCAUUAUUCUCUCAGCUGAAUCAAAAGGCCAACCUGAAACUACCAGAUCAUAUCCAUUAGUAAAGGAGUGGUUUGUAUAUCCAGGCAACACGCUGCAGCAGCCAAACCUUGUGCCAGCACAACCACCUAAUCUACCAGGAGGAAUUCCGGAUUUACAAACUUUGUGGCUGACAGAAGGGCCAGAGGUUAAGAAAUUACGUUACAGCAUAUUUCUCGCAUGUUUUGGCUUAUACGAUUUUGCUGAGGGGUUACUUCCACUUGAGCCUCCCAUUGCUGCUGUUUGCUGCCUGCUGACCUAUGUUACAGCGCAGGUAAACACGAUCUGUUGGGAGGACCUGGAUGCAUAUUUAUCUCAGGCUCUCAUUAUUCGGGACAAGACAGCUGAUCAGCUUGCUCAUAUAAAGGUGCCCCGUGUUGACUCUCGGGCUGUGCACCUGGCCUCCCUGUUUGUUCGAGGCCUGUCUGAGCUCCUUUCAGCUAAUAGUGCCUGUGGGUUUCCAUUUAAAAUGGGCGACCUGAUGCCGUGGGAGGUAUUUGAUGGAAAACUUUUCCACACAAAGUACCUGCAGUCUCACAGUGGAUGUCGAGCAGAGGACCUUCUAGAAAGGAAUGUAGGUAUACAGAUGGAGUGUGCAUGCUUGAGGUAAUUCUCAACUAAUAAUGGUGGUUUACAGUAUCAGCUAAUAGUGCCUGUGGGUUUCCAUUUAAAAUGGGCGACCUGAUGCCGUGGGAGGUAUUUGAUGGAAAACUUUUCCACACAAAGUACCUGCAGUCUCACAGUGGAUGUCGAGCAGAGGACCUUCUAGAAAGGAAUGAUAUUCUGCUGCAGGAAUUCCAGAAGCUGAAGUCCCUCAUUAAUAGUAUUUGUGUGAGAAAGAAAAGAGACAUACAGAGCCGGCCCCGGCUGUGCACAGCAG